AAUCAACGCUGGCGGCGUGCCUCAGACAUGCAAGUCGAACGAUUAAAGCUCUCUUCGGAGAGUGCAUAAAGUGGAGCACGGGUGAGUAACACGUACGUAAUCUACCUUCGAGUGGGGAAUAACGUCCGGAAACGGACGCUAAUACCGCAUAAUGCAGCUGCACCUAAUGGUGACAGUUGUUAAAGAAUUUAUUCGCUUGAAGAGGAGCUUGCGGCAGAUUAGCUAGUUGGUAAGGUAAUGGCUUACCAAGGCUUCGAUCUGUAACCGGUCUAAGAGGACGGUCGGUCACACUGACACUGAAUAACGGGUCAGACUCCUACGGGAGGCAGCAGUCGGGAAUUUUGGGCAAUGGGCGAAAGCCUGACCCAGCAACGCCGCGUGAAGGAUGAAGUAUUUCGGUAUGUAAACUUCGAAAGAAUGGGAAGAAACAAUGACGGUACCAUUUAUAAGGUCCGGCUAACUACGUGCCAGCCGCCGCCGUAA
rnacentral:rRNA from 1 species